AUUCACAUGGCUGGCUCAUUCUCCCUUUGGGUCUCUCAGAGGGGACUUCCUUGACUACCAUCUACCAAAAUUAACCACUCCCCUAAAAUGACCUUCCAUUAUCUUAUCCUGUUUAUUUUGUUACUUGCAUGCUCAAUGUCUCCCCAACCCAGCUGGACUGAAAGUUCCAGGGAGCAGGGAUCUUGUCUUCUGUCAUCAUUAUAUCUUCGCCCCCUUCACAGUGCCUGGUAUACAGCAAGUGUCUACUUAAUGAAUGGAAACAGGAAGAUGGAUCCUGGAGAUACUGAACUUUCCUGGGGGAGGAGGUGGAGAAGGAGUGGGAACAAACACUGAGCAAAAGUCAGCAUUCUGAAUUGUGUUCCUCAGCCCGCUUGCCACAUGCCGCUCCCCACUUCCAAUGCUACACCCAGCUCUAGAACUCCAGGCAGGUGGUGGGCUUCCAGCUGGAGACUAGACUCAAGGACCUUUCCAGAAAAAAACCAAGCUUGCGCCAUCGAUACUGACCUUUGGGGCUCCCCAGUGAAAGAGUCCAGCCAGCCACCUAACUGCCCUACCGUAAGCCCACACGGAGCACUUCCAGAUCCAUCCAGUGCCUCCUUCUCAAAUACGAAAGGACGGCCGAGGCAGACCAGACAUCUGUGGAAAGGCUCCAGUGAGAUACAAAUCAAAACAGCAGAAAAUGGGAAAUCAGAGGAAACUGAGACAAUAUAGAGAGAAGAACAAAUUAAUAUCCUCGGAGAGAGGGUACUGCACGUAUCGAGAGAACCAAGAACAGGAAACCACGCAAAAAAGAAAAGAAGAGAAAAACCAGGGAACAUGAAAGCACUCUUGAGAAUUAAAAGAAAAGAAAAGGAUUCGUGACAACAUACUUAGUAAAUGGAUUGGAAUAUAGCA